ensembl:lncRNA
CGCGGUGAGCCGCAUAGCUGAACUGCUUUCUGCGUUUCUGCUUGGCGGCCAGCGCGAGUUGCUUUGUGUCCCGGGCCGGGAGGGAACGUAUCGGGAGGAGCGGGGAGCUCCACGGCGUGCCAACCGAAGAAGAUGCCGAGCUACACAGGAAAGAAAAACCUUCUUUGUGAUGUAUUUCAUCUCCGCGGCCACAGACGGGUUGUGGAGUCGGCAGUUGAUCGAUUUGUUUCCCCUAAAGAUCCUCGGUUGAGUGGGAUUGGUGACAAAGCCUUGGUUCUGUUUAUAUGGGCCCCCGGUGACCUGAGGGUAUUUGAGCUGCCCUUCGGGGGCCAGUGAUCAGAAUGCUCUGUGUUAUGACCACGAGCACCAUGGAAGGGGUUAAGACUCGGUCGGUCUGCGAGGCCUUCAACACACUGGAGGAUCUGCCGUUCCCUCUGCGAGGAUCACAAACCGACAACCUGCCACCCCUCAGUGGCCAAUGAAAAGUACCAAUCGAUCGUUACCUGAAGCCAAACGUUCAAUCGAGACCAAUCCGGUCUGUAGAGGUCGUAUCUUCUGUGCUCACGUGGGCUAUUCUUUUCUUCACCUUUUCUAUCAAUAUAGAAUUUUUUCCCUCUCUAACCUGCCGUCUCCUGCACAUUUUCACUGUGUUUUUGGUUUACAAGAAAUCUUAACUUAAAUAUUUUAUAAAGUUCAGUUCGGAGCAUCGAAAUGUUACUUCAUACACAGCUUGCGUCUAUGAGUUUAGGUGAAUGGCUGAUUCAAGGUAGCGCUCUGGUGCAAUUAUUUUAUUAGUCGACGACAUCAAAAAGUAUUUGUCUACUAAGAAUGUGUCUUGAAUAAAG